rnacentral:rRNA from 1 species
GGGGCUCACCUGUUCCCAUUCCGAACACAGAAGUUAAGCCCACCAGCGCCGAUGGUACUGCUAACGCGGGAGAGUAGGUCGCCGCCAGUU